rnacentral:rRNA from 1 species
GAUGAACGCUAGCGGGAGGCCUAACACAUGCAAGCCGAGCGGUAGAGUCUCUUCGGAGACUUGAGAGCGGCGCACGGGUGCGGAACACGUGUGCAACCUGCCUUUAUCUGGGGGAUAGCCUUUCGAAGGGAAGAUUAAUACCCCAUAAUAUACUGGAUGGCAUCAUCUGUUAUUGAAAACUCCGGUGGAUAGAGAUGGGCACGCGCAAGAUUAGAUAGUUGGUGAGGUAACGGCUCACCAAGUCAGCGAUCUUUAGGGGGCCUGAGAGGGUGAUCCCCCACAAUGGUACUGAGAAAAGGACCAGACUCCUACGGGAGGCAGCAGAGAGGAAUAUUGGACAAGGGGUGAGAGCAUGAUACAGCCAUCCCGCGUGAAGGACGACGGCCCUAUGGGUUGUAAACUUCUUUUGUAUAGGGAUAAACCUAGAUACGUGUAUCUAGCUGAAGGUACUAUACGAAUAAGCACCGGCUAACUCCGUG